rnacentral:rRNA from 1 species
UACGUAGGCAGCAAGCGUUGUUCGGAGUUACUGGGCGUAAAGGGUGUGUAGGCGGUUCUUUAAGUUUGCUGUGAAAUCUCCCGGCUUAACCGGGAGGGUGCGGUGAAUACUGAGGGACUAGAGUACGGGAGAGGAAAGUGGAAUUCCCGGUGUAGCGGUGAAAUGCGCAGAUAUCGGGAGGAACACCAGUAGCGAAGGCGGCUCGCUGGGCCAUUCCUGACGCUGAGACGCGAAAGCUAGGGGAGCGAACAGG